UACUGGCGGAACGAGGGGAUCGCCGGC
rnacentral:sRNA from 1 species